GACGAACGCUGGCGGCGUGCUUAACACAUGCAAGUCGAACGGAAAGGCCCUGCUUUUGUGGGGUGCUCGAGUGGCGAACGGGUGAGUAACACGUGAGUAACCUGCCCUUGACUUUGGGAUAACUUCAGGAAACUGGGGCUAAUACCGGAUAGGAGCUCCUGCUGCAUGGUGGGGGUUGGAAAGUUUCGGCGGUUGGGGAUGGACUCGCGGCUUAUCAGAUUGUUGGUGGGGUAGUGGCUUACCAAGGCUUUGACGGGUAGCCGGCCUGAGAGGGUGACCGGCCACAUUGGGACUGAGAUACGGCCCAGACUGCUACGGGAGGCAGCAGUGGGGAAUAUUGCACAAUGGGCGGAAGCCUGAUGCAGCAACGCCGCGUGCGGGAUGACGGCCUUCGGGUUGUAAACCGCUUUCGCCUGUGACGAAGCGUGAGUGACGGUAAUGGGUAAAGAAGCACCGGCUAACUACGUG
rnacentral:rRNA from 1 species